CAAGGAAUAGUUUAAAAAAAAUAUUAAUUUUGGAGAUUAAUGAUGAUAUCUUCUUCCUUGA
rnacentral:tRNA from 1 species